CAAGUCGAACGAUGAAGCAUUCUUCGGAAUGUGGAAGAGUGGCGAACGGGUGAGGAACACGUAAGAAUCUGCCCCUUGGUCGGGGACAACUCUUGGAAACGAGAGCUAAUACCCGAUACGCUGUGGAGUGAAAGAAUUUCGCCGAGGGAUGAUCUUGCGUCUGAUUAGCUAGUUGGUGUGGUAAUGGCAUACCAAGGCGACGAUCAGUAGCUGGUCUGAGAGGAUGGACAGUCACAUUGGAACUGAGACACGGUCCAAACUCC
rnacentral:rRNA from 1 species